rnacentral:rRNA from 1 species
AUACGGAGGGUGCAAGCGUUGUUCGGAAUUACUGGGCGUAAAGCGCGCGUAGGCGGUCUGUUAUGUCAGAUGUGAAAGUCCUCGGCUCAACCGGGGAAGUGCAUUUGAAACUGGCAGACUUGAGUACUGGAGGGGGUGGUGGAAUUCCCGGUGUAGAGGUGAAAAUCGUAGAUAUCGGGAGGAAUACCGGUGGCGAAGGCGACCACCUGGCCAGAUCCUGACGCUGAGGUGCGAAAGCGUGGGGAGCAAACAGGAUUAGAAACACCGGUAGUCC